rnacentral:rRNA from 1 species
UACGGAGGGUGCGAGCGUUGUCCGGAAUCACUGGGCGUAAAGGGUGCGUAGGCGGGCAGGUAAGUCCGUGGUGAAAUCUCUGAGCUUAACUCAGAAACUGCCAUGGAUACUAUUUGUCUUGAAUGUUGUGGAGGUAAGCGGAAUAUGUCAUGUAGCGGUGAAAUGCUUAGAUAUGACAUAGAACACCAAUUGCGAAGGCAGCUUACUACACAAAUAUUGACGCUGAGGCACGAAAGCGUGGGGAGCAAACAGG